AACGAACGCUGGCGGCAUGCCUAACACAUGCAAGUCGAACGGGAUCCUAGCUUGCUAGGUGAGAGUGGCGGACGGGUGAGUAACACGUGGGAAUCUGCCUUUUGGUUCGGGAUAACCGCGGAAACUGCGGCUAAUACCGAAUGCCCUCGAGAGAGGAAAGAUUUAUCGCCAGAAGAGGAGCCCGCGUCCGAUUAGGUAGUUGGUGGGGUAAAGCCUACCAAGCCGACGAUCGGUAGCUGGUCUGAGAGGAUGAUCAGCCACACUGGGACUGAGAUACGGCCCAGACUCCUACGGGAGGCAGCAGUGGGAAUAUUGGACAAUGGGGGCAACCCUGAUCCAGCAAUGCCGCGUGAGUGAUG
rnacentral:rRNA from 1 species